AUUUGCUGCAAGUGACAGAAUGCUUGAGUAAGAGGGCCUUAAACAAUAAGAUAUUUUUCUCACACAUCGAGAAGUCUACAGUGGAAGAUGUGGCCGUCUGGAUUCUCACGUAUGGCAAGUUCAGGCUGGAGUUGAGUGGCCACUGCUGUUCGUAAGAUGGGGCAUCUGCUCUCCAGUUCACCGUAGUCCCUACACGCCCAAAUGACAGUGCUGCCCUAAGACACAGCUCUGUAUGAAGAAUGCUGCAUACACUUGGCCCCCUCCCUUUCGAAGCUGACAGACUUGCUGUUCGGUUGGCAGUCCACAAACGUCGCUCAGGUGAUGCCCAGAUGCUGUGCACCAUUGAGAUCCUGAGCCUAACCAAUGGAACAGGGGAGAGAUGACUACAUUCCAAAUUGCAAUAAGCAUGACAAGCCAAUGAGAAAGGGUGCCAUGGGGACACGGAAGAGAGACUGCCUUACUCAGCCUGGGCUCCCAGGAAGGCUUCCAAGAAGAAGGGAUAUUUGAGUGCUGUCUGGAAAGCUGAGCCGAGAGUUGGCAGGUGCGGAAAGGAAUCGGGUGUCAGGUUGAGGCCCCUUGAGGGUGUGGCUGGUGAAGAGGAGAGCACCUGCCCCACAUUCAUUGACUGUGCAGUAUGUAUCAGGGGCCAUGCAGGGUCCUCAGGAGACAGAGAUGGAAGGGCUAAGGAAGGAAUAUGUGGACAGAACUUUGGGUGACAUCCUACCCAGCAGCACACUUCAGAACUCCAUCCUGAUAAUUAAGCCUAAAUCUAAGUCAUUCUAGAAGAUCUCUAGAUCUUCUUUAAAAUAUCCUCUACAAUGUGCAGUAUCUAUUGAAAUUAAAUAUGUGCCUAUCCCAUGACCCAGAAAGUCCAUUUCUUGAUUUCAACUAUAGAGAAAAAACUUGUUCAAAUCACUUGCUGGUGUGAAAGGGUGUACAUUGCAGCACUAUUUGGAAAAAUGAAAAAAUUGGGGAUCAACCCAAAUAUUUACGCAUAGAUGAAUGGCUGUCAGAACUAGGCUAUAC
rnacentral:lncRNA from 1 species